CCAGUCCUAAGUUGCUGUGCAGACUUGCCACAUGCUCAUGCGCUUGGAUGUUUGAAACAAAGGAGCGAGGACAAUCCCUUGAGACCUUUUGCUGUUUAUGCAGCGCUAUCACCCAAGAAGCACGUUGCUGGCACUUGAACAGUAUGUUAUCAUCAUCCUUAGAGAGGUGCUACAGAGUGCAAAGUUAGGCGUGGCAAGCUGGUCAAAUAUCAACUGGCAGUCAAAUACUGUCAAAUAUUCCGGAUCAUGGACCUACUGUGGGAAUUGGACCCUUUUCUUCAAGAGUAUGAAAGAUGUAAUAAAUCUAUAAAUACUUGGCACACACAACCACGUAAGUCUGUCCCAGACAAUGAAAUAUUCCAGCUCUACCCAGCUGCAUACCAAAUUCAUCUUGGCACAACCACUCGCAUUAAGGAGAGCUACAUACAGCAAAGGAGGCUCAAUUUAGUUGAAAAAUAAUUAUGUGGCAUCAUUAUUCAUUUGUGUUUGAAACUGAUAAGACUGCAGGAUAUUUUCAUGCAGUAUUUUGUGUUUUUCUAAGUUG